rnacentral:rRNA from 1 species
CGCCAGCCUGACGGAGCCAGACCGCGUGGGGGAGGAAGGCCCUUGGGUUGUAAACCCCUUUUCUCAGGGAAGAAACCUGACGGUACCUGAGGAAAAAGCCUCGGCUAACUCCGUGCCAGCAGCCGCGGUAAUACGGAGGAGGCAAGCGUUAUCCGGAAUUACUGGGCGUAAAGCGUCCGCAGGGGGCACAUCAAGUCUGCUGUUAAAGGCUGGAGCUUAACUCCGGUAGAGCAGUGGAAACUGGUGUGCUAGAGGGCGACAGGGGUAGAGGGAAUUCCCAGUGUAGCGGUGAAAUGCGUAGAGAUCGGGAAGAACAUCGGUGGCGAAAGCGCUCUACUGGACGGCAACUGACACUCAGGGACGAAAGCUAGGGGAGCG